ANNNCNNNCUUUGGCGGCGUGGUUAAGACAUGCAAGUCGAACGGGGUUUAGUUUGUAGUAAUACACGCUAAAUUCAGUGGCGAACGGGUGCGUAACACGUGAGUAAUCUGCCGAGAAGUGGGGGAUAGCUCGCCGAAAGGCGAAUUAAUACCGCAUAUGACAAGGGAAGACAUCUUUCCAAAGUCAAAGUCGCAAGACGCUUCUUGAUGAACUCGCGGCCUAUCAGCUUGUUGGUGAGGUAACGGCUCACCAAGGCUAUGACGGGUAGCUGGUCUGAGAGGACGACCAGCCACACUGGAACUGAGACACGGUCCAGACACCUACGGGUGGCAGCAGUCGAGAAUUUUUCACAAUGGGGGAAACCCUGAUGGAGCGACGCCGCGUGGAGGACGAAGGCCUUCGGGUCGUAAACUCCUGUCAUGCGAGAACAAGAAAGUGAUAGUAUCGCAAGAGGAAGAGACGGCUAACUCUGUGCCAGCAGCCGCGGUAAUACAGAGGUCUCAAGCGUUGUUCGGAUUCAUUGGGCGUAAAGGGUGCGUAGGUGGCGUGGAAAGUUGAGUGUGAAAUCCUAGGGCUUAACCUUAGAACUGCACUCAAUACUCCCAUGCUAGAGGAAUGUAGAGGAGAGUGGAAUUCACGGUGUAGCAGUGAAAUGCGUAGAUAUCGUGAGGAAGACCAGUUGCGAAGGCGACUCUCUGGGCAUUUCCUGACACUGAGGCACGAANGCCAGGGGAGCAAACGGGAUUAGAUACCCCGGUAGUCCUGGCAGUAAACGGUGCACGUUUGGUGUGGGCGGGCUCAGACCCCGUCCGUGCCGGAGC
rnacentral:rRNA from 1 species